rnacentral:lncRNA from 1 species
GAGUCCAUCUUUUUUGACUCUCCCUUAUUAAAACUCUUUCCCUUCUCUCUACAACAAACUCGCCGCUGGUUUUGUCUCUCCGAUCGGCGCGUGUGGGCCACCAUAGCCACGGCGUCGGUUGGCUUUUCAGCUUUUGUUUAGUUAACUAGUUCUGGGUUCGUGUGUGGAGAGAUCUGUGGAUUGGUUUCGUUUUUCAUUUCCUUCUCAGAUUUCUCUCUUUUCAGAUCUAGGGUUUGGUUGCUUGGUUUUUAUUACAGGUUCUUAUUUCUUAUUUGCCUGAGUUAUCCCUGGCCCUAACCGCAAUGGCUCUAUGCCACCCACUGUCGUUGUGGUGGUGAUUCGGUUUGGGCGACCUAAUUUUCAGGUUUUCUCACACAGCUUCAACAAACGGAUCUAGGGCGAGAUCCGCCUAGGUUUCGGUCCUUAUACCGGUUCACGUCCAAUAGUUGACAUUCUCGGCCCGGCGAUUCCGACGGUCUUUGCAAGUUUGGCCAAGGUUCCACCGUCCCGCCAUCCAAGAUAUUCCAAGGUUUUUCUUCUGAAGACUCUUAAUUAACAAGUGAGGCAUGUAUAUCGGAGACUUUCUGGGUGGUGGCCAGCUCCUUCGUCGACUUCCUGCUAGUUUUGCGAUUUCGGUUGGCUCGGACAAUAAGGAAUUUGUAUCUUUGUGUUGAAUCAUUUCAAUCAUGUUUAGAUCUUUUUAGUUUUAGUUUUUCUCUUUUGUUUGUCUCCCGUGUUUGGGGCUCAGUUUCUGGGGGUUAGAAUCCCGCCGGACUUUGUAUUCCGACAACGUAUUUCAUCUGUGAUAUAUAAUAUUUCAGACGAAAAAAAAAAAAAAAAAAAAACAAGCAAACUGUUAUAGAACUUGUUGUUCUUAUUAGUAUUAAUGAAUGG